AGACCUGCAGAGUGAAGAAAGCUGGUAAUAGAUGUCUGACAAACUAAAGAAAGACUUCUGUUACCACAAUUCAGACAGCCCGGAAUAUCAAGAUUCAUCUUUUUCACUAAUUGUGGCAUUCACACCAUAAAGCUGGGCAUGCACAGAAGCAUUUCAUCAUCAAAUGGAAGUGGUAUAUACGUGAUGGGGCACAAGCAGAUCCUGAAGGCACAAGUAAGUUACAUGAGGAAGUGGCUCAAAUGCCCAUGGCCCCCACUCCUGCCAUCCUGCCUUCUCUCCCCCAGCCUGCAUUGAUGGCCUCAUGAGAAGUUCCCUAUGAUCAGCUGGCAGAGGAAAAGAAGACUAGGGCCUGGUUUAUAGAUGGUUCUGCAUAAUAUACAGACACUACCUCAAAAUGGACAGCUGUAGCACCAUAGCCCCUUUCUUGGUAUCCCUGAAGGAUGCUGGUGAAGGGAAAUUUCCCCAGUGUGCAGAACUUUGAGCAAUGCAACUGGCUGUACACUUUGCUUGGAAGGAGAAAUGGCCAGAUGUAUGAUAAUAUAGUGAUAC
rnacentral:sRNA from 1 species